rnacentral:rRNA from 1 species
UACGAAGGGGGCUAGCGUUGUUCGGAAUCACUGGGCGUAAAGCGUAUGCAGGCGGAUCGCUAAGUCAGGGGUGAAAUCCCGAGGCUCAACCUCGGAACUGCCUUUGAUACUGACGAUCUUGAGUCCGGGAGAGGUGAGUGGAAUUCCGAGUGUAGAGGUGAAAUUCGUAGAUAUUCGGAGGAACACCAGUGGCGAAGGCGGCUCACUGGCUCGGUACUGACGCUGAGGUGCGAAAGCGUGGGGAGCAAACAGG